rnacentral:ncRNA from 1 species
UCGAUCGUGAGGUGGAAUCCGAAGGAAGUUGGCGGCAAAGCCUUGGUCUGAGGUACACGAACCACAUUCGAGGCUCAAUUCUGUGGGUAAACUUGCCAAACAAAGUAAAGCCCUAUAACUAUCCAAAACAGAAAGAGUAGAUGUGGCAGAUGUAUGAGGUGAAAGUACGUGUU